UACGUAGGGUGCGAGCGUUGUCCGGAAUUACUGGGCGUAAAGAGCUCGUAGGUGGUUUGUCGCGUUGUCCGUGAAAACUCACAGCUUAACUGUGGGCGUGCGGGCGAUACGGGCAGACUGGAGUACUGCAGGGGGAGACUGGAAUUCCUGGUGUAGCGGUGGAAUGCGCAGAUAUCAGGAGGAACACCGGUGGCGAAGGCGGGUCUCUGGGCAGUGACUGACGCUGAGGAGCGAAAGCGUGGGGGAGCGAACAGG
rnacentral:rRNA from 1 species